UUGGUCAGAAGUUAUUCUCUGCGUGUGGAAUAGAAGUUUUACACGUUUUUCUGAGAUAAAAGUAAAGAUGCUUUUUGUGUUUUCCUUUUGAGCCGGGUGUUUCAAGUGAACUCAUUCCUUCUGGGUUAAAUGCAGCCAGCGAGUUUGACGGUGGAUUUUGAUGGUGAAUGUGACGAAGGAGAGAAAGAUGACAACUGUAACAACUGUAAUCAGUAACCAGAACCAUGGUCUCGUUUAUUUCCUGGAGGGAGUGAUAGUCAAACUCGGACCUGCGUCAGCGAUCCCGAACCUGCUCGUGCCCGGCUCGGACUUGCGUCAACGUUCCCGAACCUGCUCGUGCCUCGCCCGGAUCUGAUGUGUCUCAACUCGGCAAGACGGGAUGUAACGUUACACAGAUAAGCCCACGUUUACCGUUAAGGACCCGCAUUUCUCAGUGUUUCAUUAAGACGUCCAUAAGUCAGUCACGUAAGCUUGUGUACUGAAAGGUGACAAUAAGUUUGAACACUACAAGAGAGACUGUGCAACCUUAAUAAUAAUAACUGUGGUUUAAAUUGUGUAAGGGGAAUUUAUUUAUUUUGUCUAUUGAAGAAAGUAAGUGAUAACUUGAAAAAGGGAGAAUUAUUUGUACACAUUAAGCAAGCCAAUAUUUUUCAGGGUUUUUUUUUGUGAAGUUUUUUAUUAUUUUCUAAGCACCAAGCCUUUACAAAGUUUGUUUCAAUUGAAGGAUUGAUCAAAGGACAUUGACCUAAUUUAGUUUGAUUA